GAUGAACGCUGGCGGCGUGCCUAAUACAUGCAAGUCGAGCGAACGGACGAGAAGCUUGCUUCUCUGAUGUUAGCGGCGGACGGGUGAGUAACACGUGGAUAACCUACCUAUAAGACUGGAUAACUUCGGGAAACCGGAGCUAAUACCGGAUAAUAUUUUGAACCGCAUGGUUCAAAAGUAAAAGACGGUCUUGCUGUCACUUAUAGAUGGAUCCGCGCUGCAUUAGCUAGUUGGUAAGGUAACGGCUUACCAAGGCAACGAUGCAUAGCCGACCUGAGAGGGUGAUCGGCCACACUGGAACUGAGACACGGUCCAGACUCCUACGGGAGGCAGCAGUAGGGAAUCUUCCGCAAUGGGCGAAAGCCUGACGGAGCAACGCCGCGUGAGUGAUGAAGGUCUUCGGAUCGUAAAACUCUGUUAUUAGGGAAGAACAUAUGUGUAAGUAACUGUGCACAUCUUGACGGUACCUAAUCAGAAAGCCACGGCUAACUACGUG
rnacentral:rRNA from 1 species